UACAGAGGUCUCAACCGUUGUUCGGAUUCAUUGGGCUUAAAGGGUGCGUAGGCGGUCGCGCAAGUCGGAUGUGAAAUCUUAGGGCUCAACCCUGAAACUGCAUUCGAUACUGCGUGGCUCGAGUACUGGAGAGGAGACUGGAAUUUACGGUGUAGCAGUGAAAUGCGUAGAUAUCGUAAGGAAGACCAGUGGCGAAGGCGAGUCUCUGGACAGUUACUGACGCUGAGGCACGAAGGCCAGGGGAGCAAACGGG
rnacentral:rRNA from 1 species